rnacentral:lncRNA from 1 species
ACAGGGAAUCUGAGGGCCCAAAUGAAGUUCACCUCACUAAGCUCAAGCCCCUCAGCAAUGGCUUCCCUUUCUUUAUUCGAGAGAUAAUACUCACUCCCGAAGGAAACGAACACGGUGGAGGCUUUUCUCUUCUUGGUAAGCCAUUCAAGUAUCUCUUUCUCGUUCUCAUGGUGUUCUUCACUAGCGUCUCGAACCAGUGGACCUGUUGGAACUAUCUUCUUGUUUAAUAGGAUUGAAAGAUAGCCCAUGUAUUUCCCUUCAAGCUCCCUAAAACUCUUAACCAAAAUGAUAUCCGAAGAGUGUUCAAAGCACUGAGGAAUCCUUUCUUUACUACUGGAAACAGGUGGAGUACGCCCAAACUCGUUUCUGGAGCUUUUUGUUGGCAUAAAGCAAUCGUUUAUGUAAAAUUCAGGAAAGGGAAACUCCUCCCUUUUAAGGUUCUUCAAUCCAUGAAAUGUGAAAGAAGCCGCAGCUACGGAAGCAGUGUAGAAAAGUAUGGCAGGUAUGUUGAGUGAGGAAGCAAGUGUA